AAAAAAAAGACAAAUAGAUUUUUAUGUCAAACGUUUGACUGUCCGUCUUAUAUGAAAUUUUUUUAUAAUUAUUAUUUUCAUUGUUGUUAGAUGAUAAAACAUGAUUAAUACUUUAUGCGUGACUUGUUUUUUUAAUUUUUUUCAUAAUUUUUUUAAUAAGAUAGAUGGUUAAACGUUGAUAACGAAAAUCUAGGGUUUGUCUUUUU
rfam:Oryza nivara chromosome 2, whole genome shotgun sequence.